UAUGAACGCUGGCGGCGUGCCUAAUACAUGCAAGUCGAGCGAACAGACGAGGAGCUUGCUCCUCUGACGUUAGCGGCGGACGGGUGAGUAACACGUGGAUAACCUACCUAUAAGACUGGGAUAACUUCGGGAAACCGGAGCUAAUACCGGAUAAUAUAUUGAACCGCAUGGUUCAAUAGUGAAAGACGGUUUUGCUGUCACUUAUAGAUGGAUCCGCGCCGCAUUAGCUAGUUGGUAAGGUAACGGCUUACCAAGGCAACGAUGCGUAGCCGACCUGAGAGGGUGAUCGGCCACACUGGAACUGAGACACGGUCCAGACUCCUACGGGAGGCAGCAGUAGGGAAUAUUCCGCAAUGGGCGAAAGCCUGACGGAGCAACGCCGCGUGAGUGAUGAAGGUCUUCGGAUCGUAAAACUCUGUUAUUAGGGAAGAACAAAUGUGUAAGUAACUAUGCACGUCUUGACGGUACCUAAUCAGAAAGCCACGGCUAACUACGUG
rnacentral:rRNA from 1 species